GACGAACGCUGGCGGUGUGCUUAACACAUGCAAGUCGAACGGUAAGGCCCUUUCGGGGGUCCACGAGUGGCGAACGGGUGAGUAACACGUGAGUAACCUGCCCUCAUCUCUGGGAUAACAGUCGGAAACGGUUGCUAAUACUGGAUAUGAGCUUGCAAGGCAUCUUGUGGGUUGGAAAGAUUUUUUUUGGUUGGGGAUGGACUCGCGGCCUAUCAGCUUGUUGGUGAGGUAGUGGCUCACCAAGGCUUCGACGGGUAGCCGGCCUGAGAGGGCGACCGGCCACAUUGGGACUGAGAUACGGCCCAAACUCCUACGGGAGGCAGCAGUGGGGAAUAUUGCACAAUGGACGGAAGUCUGAUGCAGCAACGCCGCGUGCGGGAUGACGGCCUUCGGGUUGUAAACCGCUUUCAAUUGUGACGAAGCGUUUUUGUGACGGUAGCAGUAGAAGAAGCACCGGCUAACUACGUG
rnacentral:rRNA from 1 species